ACGAACGCUGGCGGCGUGCUUAACCCCUGCAAGUCGAACGGAAAGGCCCUGCUUUUGUGGGGUGCUCGAGUGGCGAACGGGUGAGUAACACGUGAGUAACCUGCCCUUGACUUUGGGAUAACUUCAGGAAACUGGGGCUAAUACCGGAAAGGAGCUCCUGCUGCAUGGUGGGGGUUGGAAAGUUUCGGCGGUUGGGGAUGGACUCGCGGCUUAUCAGCUUGUUGGUGGGGUAGUGGCUUACCAAGGCUUUGACGGGUAGCCGGCCUGAGAGGGUGACCGGCCACAUUGGGACUGAGAUACGGCCCAGACUCCUACGGGAGGCAGCAGUGGGGAAUAUUGCACAAUGGGCGGAAGCCUGAUGCAGCAACGCCGCGUGCGGGAUGACGGCCUUCGGGUUGUAAACCGCUUUCGCCUGUGACGAAGCGUGAGUGACGGUAAUGGGUAAAGAAGCACCGGCUAACUACGUG
rnacentral:rRNA from 1 species